CGAACAGUAAACUUUAACAGACUAUACGUUUCCUGUUUUAUUCACAGAUAAACAAAGUAACGCAAAAAACUUUCCACAACAGUUUUUCAGAUUUUUGGCGGUGCCUUUCGUUUCCAUGUAUUAGGGUCUAUGGUUUUUUAGUCUGAAAUGGACAGGACUACUAUAAAAGGAAUUCAACAAGUUUUAUGUCUGAAUUAGAGAUUCAAGGAACGGACACCACUGGUCAGCUUCACCAGUGUUUCUCAAUGCAAUGUCAACAGAUGGAAGUGGAUUCUCACUGUUAAAGUAUUAGCAUGGGUUACAUCACUGCAUACUAUUUGAUUUGAUUGGGUUGCUCACUGGAAGUGGGAAAAACCUUCUGUCCGUUUGUGUUAAUUUGUAAAAGUAUUAAGGUGAAUAUUUAUUUUUAAUAAUGUAUUUUUAAUGACACAAAACCUGUUGGAAAUUUUUAUUUUAGUGCUUGUAAUCAGAGCCUUUCAUAAUAGAAUAUACCAGUUGUAGUACUCAGUAAUAAACCAAUUGUAGUACUCAGUAAUAAAUCUUUAAAGGUGAUGUUAUCCUAA